GACGAACGCUGGCGGCGUGCUUAACACAUGCAAGUCGAACGAAGAGCGAUGGAAGCUUGCUUCUUUCAAUUUUAGUGGCGAACGGGGGAGUAACGCGUAUUCAACCUGCCCUUCAGAGGGGGACAACAGUUGGAAACGACUGCUUAUACCGCAAUCGAUCUAAUCUCUGCAUCCAGGAUAGCUGAAAGGUGGCCUCUACAUGUAAGCUAUCACUCAAGGUGGGGAUUGCGUCUGAUUAGCUAGCUGGAGGGGUAACGGCCCACCCAGGGGAAGAUCAGUAGCCGGUCUGGAGGGAUGGACCGCCAAAAUUGGACUGGGACACGGCCCAGGCCCCUACGGGGAGCAGCAGGGGGGAAACUUCCGCCAUGGAGGGAAGUCUGGCGGCGCAAAGACGCGUGGGUGGAGACGGCCUUCGGGUUGGAAAGCUCUGUUAGUCGGGACGAAAGAGCUUCUUGCGAAUAGUGAGAAGGAUUGACGGUACCGAAAUAGAAAGCCACGGCUAACUACGUG
rnacentral:rRNA from 1 species